UAAUUGUGUACACAGAUAGUUUUUUUUUUUUUUUAUCUAAGAGAAUUAGAUAGUUCUCUAUACCAAACAGGUCCUAAAACAUCAUUUCAAAGUUUAUCUGUUGAAAUCUUGUUAACUAUUUAAUGUUUUGUCAAUUUUAUAGUACUUGCUAGUAAAUUAAGUCGUUAUAUUUUAACCAAGUUUCUGACUCCAGUGACUGCAAUGAUACGAAUCAAACAAAUUGAAAGUUAAUGCAUAUCAUCAUUUUAACAAAUAUAUAUAUAUAUAUAUGGUCCACGAGUCUGUUUCGGAAUGGCCUAGAGUUAAGGGGUCUCCUUUAAUUUUUACCAUUAAUAUUUAUUGUAUACAACCCACUAUUCCUAGCGCAAGUGACAAAGGAUUGGUGGUUGGUAUUCGAGAUCCCAAAUUCGAAUCAUACUUGAUUUACAUUUCCAACUAAGCUUUUUUUUUAAAAAAAUAAACAAAACGAAUAACAUGCAAGCUUUCUCUCAAAAAAAAAAACAUUAAAAAAAAUUACUGUAUACAAA
rnacentral:lncRNA from 1 species